rnacentral:rRNA from 1 species
CAGGCUGCAACCCGCCUGCGUGAAGUCGGAAUCGCUAGUAAUCGCGGAUCAGCAUGCCGCGGUGAAUACGUUCCCGGGCCUUGUACACACCGCCCGUCACACCAUGAGAGUCGGAACACCCGAAGCCCGUAGCCUAACUUGCAAGAGAGGGCGCGGUCGAAGGUGGGUUCGAUAAUUGGGGUGAAGUCGUAACAAGGUAUC